GUUGUAACGUUAUUUAUUUCUUCAAAAUAAAUAACUUACAAAGUAGUAAAUAAUCUUCAUAAUUUAUUAAUUUUAAGUAUCGACUUUAUCGAUAACUUAAUCUUCGCGUCGAUAAUUCUUCAAAUUAUCGACGCGUUCCCAUCCCUAGCCAGCGAAGCGGUCUUUUGUUAUUGUCCCCACCUCUCGCGGCAGCCCCACUCGGUGACCACUGGCUCUCGAUCAUUCGGCCACGGGCUACGGCAUCGACUGCGCGUGACCCUACCUCACGGCAGUCCUCUAGGUGCCUAGCCCGCUCUAAAGUGUCGAAUGACCUAGACUUUACCAGUGGUACCUUGUGCGUGUCUUCCCCAAUAUCGGGGUCCAAGGUCCACGCUACUACUCCAAGGU